CCUGCUGUUUCUCCUGGAUGCUUUCUGCCUUUGCCUUUUACAGAAGUGAGAGGAACCAUUAUUACAAUUCUCUUCGAAAACUAUUGCAUUAAAAGAAAGACCUGUAGCAAACAUGGUAAAAUCCGGAUGCAAUUGGGGGACUGGAUGCAUGGUAUGACUCCAUACACUCCUGUGAUGCGAUGUGGUCAACCUCAGUCAACGCAGAACUUCACAUGAUAAUGACAGUCAUAAUUACAUUAAGAGCACAUUACCGUGAUAAUUACAUAAUGCCUGUCAUCGCCGACUUAAACGUUUUGCAAAAAUCACUUUACAAAACAUUUAGAUGUCAGCACAUUGAGAUGAAAGAGCUCAAUGUCAUCAUGUAUCGUCUCAAGAGUAGAUAAGCUGAAAAAUCCGCCAAAGAACCUUCAUUAAAAUACAUUGUAAUUUCUGUACGGAUCAUGAGACUGGUCAUCUGCGAUACGGAAGCGGUUUCCUUUUCCAUUCAAUCUACAAAAUGGCUUGCCCACCUUUUUUUCAUGGUAAUUUUUAACAAAAGAGCCAUGACAAUAGGGAGACAGAAGAUACUUCGGGCAAUAAAGUUAGUUUUGUGUGUGAACCAUAUGAACUAUAUGUGAGCUAUGUGAACCAGAAAAAGUGUAACUCUGAUGUGAAUAUGCUAAAUGUACGAUGUAUUCUGGUGAGGGAAGGAUACCCUUUGUCUUUAACUACUUACUCAUUUAAGUACUUAAUGUUUUCAAAAAUUAAAACGUCAACAAAUUA